UACGUAGGUGGCGAGCGUUGUCCGGAUUUACUGGGUGUAAAGGGCGUGUAGGCGGGUUUGUAAGUUGGAUGUGAAAUGCCGCGGCUCAACUGCGGAGCUGCAUCCAAAACUACAGAUCUUGAGUGCCGGAGAGGAAAGCGGAAUUCCUAGUGUAGCGGUGAAAUGCGUAGAUAUUAGGAGGAACACCGGUGGCGAAGGCGGCUUUCUGGACGGUAACUGACGCUGAGGCGCGAAAGCGUGGGGAG
rnacentral:rRNA from 1 species